ensembl:snoRNA
AGCACUUGUAUAUGUUUUUGUUCAGCUGGUGGACAAAGGCAGGUUACACAGGUGCAAAAAUAAAUCCUCUUUUGCAACCCAGAACUCAUUGCUCAGUAUGAGUUUUGAUACAUACAACAAGAAAUGUA